rnacentral:tRNA from 1 species
GAUGAGAUGGCUGAGUUAAUAGGCGUUAAAUUGUAAAUUUAGAAACGAAGAAUUUCUUCUCUCAUCA